GACGAACGCUGGCGGCGUGCUUAACACAUGCAAGUCGAGCGGUAAGGCCCUUUCGGGGGUACACGAGCGGCGAACGGGUGAGUAACACGUGGGUGACCUGCCCUCAGCUCUGGGAUAAGCCUGGGAAACCGGGUCUAAUACUGGAUAUGACUCCAUGACGCAUGUUGUGGGGUGGAAAGCCUUGUGCGGCUGAGGAUGGGCCCGCGGCCUAUCAGCUUGUUGGUGGGGUGAGGGCCUACCAAGGCGACGACGGGUAGCCGGCCUGAGAGGGCGACCGGCACACUGGGACUGAGACACGGCCCAGACUCCUACGGGAGGCAGCAGGUGGGGAAUCUUGCGCAAUGGGCGAAAGCCUGACGCAGCGACGCCGCGUGAGGGAUGACGGCCUGGUGUAA
rnacentral:rRNA from 1 species